AAACUGAGGAUGAACAAGCCACACAAACCAGUUAGUGAUGGAGUGUGGUCGAAGCCAAAUUCCCCGUCUUCCCCAACUGGUGACUUCACACAGAUCACUUUUGUGAAGAGACAACUGAGGACCUGUGGAUCCUGCAAAACCACGGCUGGACAUGGUGCCUGCUGGCAAGGUAGAUAUUAUUGUUCCCACUUUGUCAAGGAAAAAACCUGAGGCUUGGAAAGAUUAAGUAAUGCAGCAUCAUGAGUUGGUUUCAAGGUAUGUUCAGGAUUGCGAUCUCAUUUGAUUCUCAAAACAAACUUGUGAGACCUGCUAUUCUCCUCUGAAUUGACCUGUUCUUGAGAGCUCAUAUUGAUUUAUCUUUAUUGGAAAGUCAAAUCCACAGAAC